AGUGAACGCUGGCGGUAGGCCUAACACAUGCAAGUCGAACGGCAGCACAGUAAGAGCUUGCUCUUACGGGUGGCGAGUGGCGGACGGGUGAGGAAUACAUCGGAAUCUACUUUUUCGUGGGGGAUAACGUAGGGAAACUUACGCUAAUACCGCAUACGACCUACGGGUGAAAGCAGGGGAUCUUCGGACCUUGCGCGAUUGAAUGAGCCGAUGUCGGAUUAGCUAGUUGGCGGGGUAAAGGCCCACCAAGGCGACGAUCCGUAGCUGGUCUGAGAGGAUGAUAGGCCACACUGGAACUGAGACACGGUCCAGACUCCUACGGGAGGCAGCAGUGGGGAAUAUUGGACAAUGGGCGCAAGCCUGAUCCAGCCAUACCGCGUGGGUGAAGAAGGCCUUCGGGUUGUAAAGCCCUUUUGUUGGGAAAGAAAAGCAGCAGGUUAAUACCCAGCUGUUGUGACGGUACCCAAAGAAUAAGCACCGGCUAACUUCGUG
rnacentral:rRNA from 1 species